rnacentral:piRNA from 1 species
UCUCACUUUGAAGCCCAAAGAUGGUCUGGA